GCCAGCAUAGCUGUAGUGGUUCAAGCAUUGGACUAUGACUCUGGAGGUCAGAGUUCAAAUCCCAGUUUGGCC